GAUGAACGCUGGCGGCGUGCCUAAUACAUGCAAGUCGAGCGAACGGACGAGAAGCUUGCUUCUCUGAUGUUAGCGGCGGACGGGUGAGUAACACGUGGAUAACCUACCUAUAAGACUGGGAUAACUUCGGGAAGCCGGAGCUAAUACCGGAUAAUAUUUUGAACCGCAUGGUUCAAAAGUGAAAGACGGUCUUGCUGUCACUUAUAGAUGGAUCCGCGCUGCAUUAGCUAGUUGGUAAGGUAACGGCUUACCAAGGCAACGAGGCAUAGCCGACCUGAGAGGGUGAUCGGCCACACUGGAACGGAGACACGGUCCAGACUCCUACGGGAGGCAGCAGUAGGGAAUCUUCCGCAAUGGGCGAAAGCCUGACGGAGCAACGCCGCGUGAGUGAUGAAGGUCUUCGGAUCGUAAAACUCUGUUAUUAGGGAAGAACAUAUGUGUAAGUAACUGUGCACAUCUUGACGGUACCUAAUCAGAAAGCCACGGCUAACUACGUG
rnacentral:rRNA from 1 species